GCUCCCUUCGUCUAGCGGUUAGGACACCGGCCUCUCACGCCGGUAACAGGAGUUCGAUUCUCCUAGGGAGCGCCA
rnacentral:tRNA from 1 species